UAGACUAGUAAAAUUUGCUAUUUAAACAUUCUUGUUUCAGUAGAUCUAUACAACCAUAUAGAAUAAUAUAGAUCUAGUCUUAUAGAGUAAUAGACUAGAUCUAGAAUCUAAAUCUAGUUGUAAAACCUAUUUCAAAGAAUAUAAUGAUAAGAUAGUAAUAAUAGGUAGAUCUACUACUACUACUCUGAAAAACACAAAGAUAAAGGCACAUUCCUCGUCCCAUAUGCUAGGACAAAUUUGUACAAAUACUCCUUCUUUCCUAGUGCUAUUAGAGCAUGGAAUGGGUUGCCUGAGCUAGCCAGGAAAACCAGUGACUUGGCAGAAUUUAAGUCAUUGGUUAAUAUGCAUGACUAAAUGCAUGGCGCGUAGGACGUAAUCAUCUUCUUUUUUGAAGUAACGUCUGUAUUAUAUAAGAUAAGAUUGUACUACUUCUGCGACAUCUGGCAACACUUUGGCAACAGGGUUCAUCACAUGUAAUUUUCCACAUGGCUGGAGUGGCUAUAUUCCAUCUGCAGCUGCUAAGACACAACAAUAAUGAUGUGAGUCAUCAUUCUUCAGCUGCAAGCCCUAGAGACUAUAUAUAUAUUUGAUAUGGAAGGUUAUUACAGGCCCAUGGAUGAAACUAGUGUAUGGCAAUGAAUUGCAGAAAUAUAAUCUUGAACUAGUACCAAUGUUCCAGAUUUGCUGUCAAAGAAUUACUCAGAUGAAAAAUAGUCCCAGUAACUUGUUGACUACAGAUCUAGAUAUUUUUGGGGAAAAAAUUGUGUUUGAUGAGGUGCACAAGUCAUUGCUGAAAACCAGUGACAUAAGAAUGCUUUUAAACAAAUUAACAUCAACUCUUCUGAGUUCUAUUGAGUCUGUGAUUCAGAGACAAAUGCAAAAUUAUUUAUCUGGGCCUCUGUCAAACCCCACUGAGAAAAUAUUACAGGAUAUACUAUCAGCACCUGCCAACAAUAUGCAUGCAGAACAUUUUACUUCGAAAAGCCCCCUCUGCGACUAUUGGCUAUCUGGAUUCAAAAGUUAAAGCAAAACUAAAUCACACUCUUGAGUGGAUUGAAUCCAAACCAGAGGAUUUUCAAAGAAAAAUAUUACAAUUUUCUAGCACUAGAGGAGCACAGAUCCGAAAAGCAGGAGUGCUUGAAAAUAAAGAGAUUGAUGACAACAUUAAAUUAAGACGGAUUCAAGCAUCUCAGAAGGCUAACAAUGCAUCCAGGAAGAAAUUGGAACAAGACAUUAAAAACGUCAUACUAAAUAAUGUCUCUGCAGACAAUGAAUUGUUUACAAAAGUUGUCCCAAGCCAGAAAGCUUUCCUAGAAAUUUUUAAGCGGUCAAAGUAUGACAGAUCACUUAUUUAACCAUAAAUGGGAACUAGACAAUGGACAGGACAAAAUAUUUUAUGGACAAAUACUAACAGAAAGACAAAAAGAUUAGAAGACUGUGUAUGUUACAUCUUACUGGGGUUUUGAGGAGGACUCAUCAGAGCAGGACAACAUUUUUAUGGAGUCAAUUAUUGCUGACAUGAUACUUGGUGAUCUAUUUUUUUGAAGUUUAGUUGAUAAUUAUUGUUUAUGCAUAAUUUUUUAAAUUGUUGUUCUUGUUCCUUUGCUUCUUAUAAAUUCAAAUUCUUCUUUUGAAACUGUUCAUUUUGAUAUAUACUUUUCUGUGUGUAUUCUUUAAAAAAUUGGGGAAAUGUUAUUUACUUUAAAAAAUCAUAAUUUUUUUUUCUCAUUUGCAUAAUUUAUGUAGAAUAUUUUUUUUUAUAUUUCAUUUAAUUUUUCGUUACAACUUGUACAGAUAAAUUCCUCUUUUGAAACUGUUCAUUUUGAUCUAUACUUUUGUAUGUGUAUUAAAAACUUCUGAAAUAUUAUUAUUUAUGAAAAAAAAAUCAUCAAGACGUUUUUUUCUCAUUUGCAUAAUUUUAUGUAUAAUUUUUUUUUUUAUUUCAUUUCAUUUAUCAUUGCAACUUGUACAGAUUAAUUCCUCUUUUGAAAAAGUUCAUUUUGAUAUAAACUUUAAUUCUAUGUUUAUUCUUAAAAACCUCUGAAAUAUUCAAAGAUCAUGUCGAUAAACAAAGAAUUUAAAAUUUGUGGUGCAGUUGAAUCAGACAUACUGAGCAUCCACUGUAUAUUCAUAUGCUUAUCAGUUAUGUAAUGAUCAUAAAUUCCACUUUUUUUUCUAAUUCUUUUCAUUGGGUCGCAGUCAUCAUUUGACAUAUUUCAAGUGUGUUAACUUUGAUAGAGUCUAUAGACUCAAGUCCCUUGUGAUAAUUAGCUAUACAUGAGUUAAUAAAUUAUAAAAAUAAUUAUACAUAAUAAAUAAUGAUAUCCUAGAGGUAAACAUAACAUGCUAUGAUAUAACACUUGUUCCUAAUAACAAAUUAUAUGAUUCUAAUGUCACUGAAACUCAAUCAUGUUUUUGUCUAAUUCAUUUAUUUACUAUCGGAAAUCAGGUUUUCAUCUUGAUUCUUAAUGAUGACUUUGUAAACUGUUGAUAUUGCUUUAAGACCCUAAAUAAAAUAAUAUAAAUAUUUAUACUUAUUAUAAUAUUUUUUUCACAUAACCAUACAUCUAUGAUAUUAUGUUUUGCUAAUAUAACAAAUAUUGUUCUAAGCAAUCAGUUAAAAUACUAUAGUAAAGGAUAACUGCAAAAGUAAAACAAAACAAAAAAAUUAUUGGCAGAAUUUAAGUCAUUGGUUAACAUGGAUGACUAGAUACAUGACGUUUAGGACAUAAUCAUCAUCUUUUUUGAAGUAACGUCAGUAUUUUAUAUCAUUGAUAAGACAAGAAGUGUCUCUAGGCUUGGUGAAUAUGCAGUAAAAUAUUACAAUUCAUUUUUUUAAAUCUAUUUUGCUUGUGUUCUAGUUUCUUUGCCUUAGCUGACAAAGUGCCACAUCAUUGUCUGAUAGUUAGUGACAUUUAUUGGCUGUGGAGCACGAGAAACACUUGUUUGUGAAGAGUAUGAUGUUGAACGGGGAAAUCAAGGGGCCACAGUUGCAUUGUGGAAAAAGAAAAUCUCGUUUUCGAGAGCUGACCACAUGGUCAAGGGGCAGUCAAAGCCAUGAGUAUUACAGAGGACAGACGUGUUAGGUCUGUAGAAUAGAAAGCUUUACUAAUUGUAUUUUUGAUAUUUUCUUGGGAUUAUAAUUGAUUUCUGUGUACUUGAUUCCAUGUGAUUUAUGCAAUUUAUUGAUGGCUGAAGUUGCCAAUUUAUUGUGAACUGUUAUUUCAUUUAUUAAACAUGAUGUCUGCUAA